UGUGUGUGACCUAUCAGGUAUAAUUCGUAACAGUUUUGGCGACCACGAAGGGACUCUAGGCUCGCCCCAACAAGCGAGACUACACUCCUCCUCUCGGACAGCUCCAGCCGGCACAGGGUGAGUUCACCUUUGAGAACUCCGAGGAGGGGGGGGUGUGAGCCAUCGCUUAGGCGAUAAGGUGGCACAUUUUGUGUUCUUUUGGUAGCCCAUUAUGGGUUCUGGGCAGAGUGUAAGUAAGGGGACCCCUUUGGCUAAAAUUCUCGAGAAUUGGGGAAAUAUUUCUGGCACCCAUGGGUUAGGUAGGAAAAAAGCUGUUAUUUUAUGUAAGGUUGAGUGGCCAGCACUAACAACUCAAACACCUUUUGACUGGCCACCGGAUGGUUCCUUUGCUGGGGAAAAUUAACAGCGCUUAGGAAGAGGCUGGAAAACAAAGCUCCAGCCCAGAUGGAUUAUUGGUUAAUAAAAGCCAAGAAGGGGAAAAGAAAUAAAACGGAGGACGAGCUAAUUCAACGCUGCAGCUGGCAGGCUCGGUCCAAAGAUAAGACACUAGCCUGCCCAAGGACACUACUCACAGCUAGGAUUUGGCUAAUAGCCAAGAAAGAGGGGGGCUUAAAUGUGCCCAAGCAGCUGUGAGAUCUGCAACACACUGCCAGACAUUAAUGAAAUGUGUUAGGUCUCUGUAUUUACAGGUAAAAGAAGUCCUGCUUCAAGAAUCCUGAGCAAACCUGCCAUUUGUUAAAACCAGGUAACUGGGUCUAAAUAAAGGUCCAUCAACAAAAGACUACUCUGGCCCCAUGCUGGAAAGGCCCUUAUUAAGUCCUGCUAACUAACAACACCGCUGUGAAGUGCCAAAGACUGACUUCCUGGACCCAUGCUUCUUACUGCAAAAAGACCCCUCCAUCUCAAGAUGACUUCACUUCGACUACUGAUCAGCCUGUCCCUCCUUCUGGGUUUUUUUUUUUUUCCUUUCCUCCUUUUAAACAGCAAAAAAAAAAAAAAACAAACAAAAAAAAACAAGGUGAAGUGCUAGUAACCUCUCCCUUGUCCACUGACAAAGCUAACCUGCAUUCAGUAUUUGCUAAAGAAACCAAAGCACUACAGGGUGACGUGCUAGUAACCUCUCCCCUGUAUAAUGCAAAACCAUGACUGUUCCAAGAAAAAAGAAAAAACACCUGCUCUGCUAAAACCACCAAAAUCCAAGGAUUCCUGACUGCAAGAGACACUGAGAAUUGGCCUUAAUGGCAAAAACGGAGCAUUGUACAUUGGCGGGGAGGAAGUUGCGGGAUGUAUUCUUGGGAAUGUGAAGUGAAGUGGUGGGGUGGGUUUAUUCCAGAGGCUGGAACCUGUGCUUGUAGGCAAGUAUAAAUACCAAAAACGCCUUACAGCCACAAACAUUACUCCCACCAUCUGCCACCACUCCUUUGCAGGUAAAGGUUCCUGGAUCCAUCAUAGCUACGUUAAGUUGGCACUGGGACCCCCACCUGACCCUGACAAGCCAUUGGACAAGCCACUUCACGAAUGAACACUACAACCAACCCAUGGACUGAGCUUUCCAGCUACUGGGACCUUCACAGCCCACCAGGACUUUUUGUGUUCCUGUUUAUUAGACUUACAUUGGGGGUAGUGUUUUUUUGUAUGGUACAGGGGAGGAUGUCGACAUUGGUAUGGUUUGCCUGGGGGUCCUCUCCCUAUUCCCAAGUCCAGUACAAGGAUGGGAGGGCAAUAGCUUCUUGAAUUUAACCCGUGCUAUCAAACAGGGUGUAAAUCGAAUGCAGUGUUGGAUUGGUAUUCAUACCCCCACAUAUUUAGGUCAGGGGGUCCUGUUGGUAGGGGUACCUAUCCCCCUUAAUCAAACACUCCAAGCUAAGCUAUGGGCAAACGCUACAUUUAACUAGAAUGUUACAAUCCAAAUAUGGUCUAUUGAUAUGGUGGCCCAGGGUAAUUAUGCUUUACGUGUGUCACGACGUAAGGGCAUAAAAAAUACAGUUUUUGUAGGGAAUUUUGUGGGGUGCAAGGACACCACCCAAAUCAGCUCUGGUGCAGGAGGCCCCUCUACCUACUCCAGAGCCCCGUGGCCAGUCCCCGAGGGGUCUGGCUGGUAUUGGUUAUGCAAUCACACAGCCUAUAAGGUUCUCCCAGCAGGAUGGUGUGGUACAUGUACCUUAGGGGCUAUAGUACCCGCCGUGACAGUACACCAGAACCUGACCCGGGGAAAGAUCCGCAAUCUAGUAUGGAGGGACCGACAAAGUAUUCCUUUAAACCCCCUUUCUCAACGGUCCAAAGGCUUUCACUCCUUUGUGCGUUGGUUUCUGUCAUGGUUGAAAGUAAGCGAGCUGGAAAAAGCUAUAGUUAAUAUUUCAGCUGCUUUGAAACUAAUGGCAAAUGCUACUGCAGAUGCUCUAUCUGCCCUUCAAAUUGAAGUCACCCAGCUAUCCCAAACUACAUUGCAAAACCGCCUAGCCCUGGAUUAUCUCCUUGCAAAUCAGGGGGGGGUUUGUGCUCUGGUCAACUCAAGCUGUUGUGUAUUUGUAAAUCAGCACCAUAGGGUGGAAACUGACAUCCACAUCCUCAAGCAACAGGCAGCCCUAUUCCACCGCAUCAGCCUCGACACUACCAGCGCCGGAUUCCAGGAGGUCUGGGACUGGCUCACCGCAUGGCUCCCGGAUGUGGGGACUUGGGGACGGCGUAUUUUGUAUUUACUUUUUUUGACUGUUAUUGUUUUUGUGUUAUUUUUUGUAUGCCUGCAAUGCUGCAGUAUGUGCUGUCGGCAGUUGCUAACCCUGCAGCGCGGUUACUCAGCCCCGAUAUAGCUUACUGACGUAC